AUUGAACGCUGGCGGCAUGCCUUACACAUGCAAGUCGAACGGCAGCACGGGUGCUUGCACCUGGUGGCGAGUGGCGAACGGGUGAGUAAUACAUCGGAACAUGUCCUGUAGUGGGGGAUAGCCCGGCGAAAGCCGGAUUAAUACCGCAUACGAUCUACGGAUGACAGCGGGGGACCUUCGGGCCUCGCGCUAUAGGGUUGGCCCGUGGCGGAUUAGCUAGUUGGUGGGGUAAAGGCCUACCAAGGCGACGAUCAGUAGCUGGUCUGAGAGGGCGACCAGCCCAAAUGGAACUGAGACACGGUCCAGGAUCCCACGGGGGGCAGCAGUAGGGAAUUUUCGGAAAUGGGCGAAAGGCUUACGGAGCAACGGCGGGUGAGGGAAGAAGGUCUUCGGAUCGUAAAACUCUGUUAGUAGGGAAGAAAAAAUUUGGAAGUAACUAUGCACGUCGUGACGGUACCUGAUAAGAAAGCCACGGCUAACUACGUG
rnacentral:rRNA from 1 species